rnacentral:rRNA from 1 species
CCUACGGGAGGCAGCAGUGAGGAAUAUUGGUCAAUGGGCGCGAGCCUGAACCAGCCAAGUAGCGUGAAGGAUGACUGCCCUACGGGUUGUAAACUUCUUUUAUAAAGGAAUAAAGUGAGGCACGUGUGCCUUUUUGUAUGUACUUUAUGAAUAAGGAUCGGCUAACUCCGUGCCAGCAGCCGCGGUAAUACGGAGGAUCCGAGCGUUAUCCGGAUUUAUUGGGGUUAAAGGGAGCGUAGAUGGGUUGUUAAGUCAGGUGUAAAAGUUGGCGGCGCAACCGUAAAAUUGCAAUUGAUACUGGUAGUCUUGAGUACAGAUGAGGUAGGGAAUUCGUGGUGUAGCGGUGAAAUGCUUAGAUAUCACGAAGAACUCCGAUUGCGAAGGCAGCUUACUAAACUGCCACUGACAUUGAUGCUCGAAAGUGUGGGUAUCAAACAGGAUUAGAUACCCGGGUAGUC